rnacentral:rRNA from 1 species
UCAAGAAACUUCCACAAUGGGCGAAAGCCUGAUGGAGCGACGUCGCGUGAUGGACGAAGUGCUUCGGCACGUAAACAUCUUUUAUGUGGGAUGAAAUUAUUGACAGUACCACAUGAAUAAGGGGCUCCUAACUCUGUGCCAGCAGGAGCGGUAAUACAGAGGCCCCAAGCGUUAUCCGGAAUCACUGGGCGUAAAGGGUGUCGAGGCGGUUGUACUAGUCGUUCGUAAAAUCUACGAGCUUAACUUGUAGGCGGCGAACGAAACGGUACGACUUGAGGUUUGGAGAGGUGCGUGGAACUCACGGUGUAGGGGUGAAAUCCGUUGAUAUCGUGGGGAACACCAAAGGCGAAGGCAGCGCACUGGCCAAAAUCUGACGCUCACACACGAAAGCUAGGGUAGCGAAGAGGAUUAGAUACCCAUGUAGUCCCUGAGCGGGCUGGCAAGGCGCAU